GAACGCUGGCGGCGUGCCUAAUACAUGCAAGUCGAACGAACUCUGGUAUUGAUUGGUGCUUGCAUCAUGAUUUACAUUUGAGUGAGUGGCGAACUGGUGAGUAACACGUGGGAAACCUGCCCAGAAGCGGGGGAUAACACCUGGAAACAGAUGCUAAUACCGCAUAACAACUUGGACCGCAUGGUCCGAGCUUGAAAGAUGGCUUCGGCUAUCACUUUUGGAUGGUCCCGCGGCGUAUUAGCUAGAUGGUGGGGUAACGGCUCACCAUGGCAAUGAUACGUAGCCGACCUGAGAGGGUAAUCGGCCACAUUGGGACUGAGACACGGCCCAAACUCCUACGGGAGGCAGCAGUAGGGAAUCUUCCACAAUGGACGAAAGUCUGAUGGAGCAACGCCGCGUGAGUGAAGAAGGGUUUCGGCUCGUAAAACUCUGUUGUUAAAGAAGAACAUAUCUGAGAGUAACUGUUCAGGUAUUGACGGUAUUUAACCAGAAAGCCACGGCUAACUACGUGCCAGCAGCCGCGGUAAUACGUAGGUGGCAAGCGUUGUCCGGAUUUAUUGGGCGUAAAGCGAGCGCAGGCGGUUUUUUAAGUCUGAUGUGAAAGCCUUCGGCUCAACCGAAGAAGUGCAUCGGAAACUGGGAAACUUGAGUGCAGAAGAGGACAGUGGAACUCCAUGUGUAGCGGUGAAAUGCGUAGAUAUAUGGAAGAACACCAGUGGCGAAGGCGGCUGUCUGGUCUGUAACUGACGCUGAGGCUCGAAAGUAUGGGUAGCAAACAGGAUUAGAUACCCUGGUAGUCCAUACCGUAAACGAUGAAUGCUAAGUGUUGGAGGGUUUCCGCCCUUCAGUGCUGCAGCUAACGCAUUAAGCAUUCCGCCUGGGGAGUACGGCCGCAAGGCUGAAACUCAAAGGAAUUGACGGGGGCCCGCACAAGCGGUGGAGCAUGUGGUUUAAUUCGAAGCUACGCGAAGAACCUUACCAGGUCUUGACAUACUAUGCAAAUCUAAGAGAUUAGACGUUCCCUUCGGGGACAUGGAUACAGGUGGUGCAUGGUUGUCGUCAGCUCGUGUCGUGAGAUGUUGGGUUAAGUCCCGCAACGAGCGCAACCCUUAUUAUCAGUUGCCAGCAUUAAGUUGGGCACUCUGGUGAGACUGCCGGUGACAAACCGGAGGAAGGUGGGGAUGACGUCAAAUCAUCAUGCCCCUUAUGACCUGGGCUACACACGUGCUACAAUGGAUGGUACAACGAGUUGCGAACUCGCGAGAGUAAGCUAAUCUCUUAAAGCCAUUCUCAGUUCGGAUUGUAGGCUGCAACUCGCCUACAUGAAGUCGGAAUCGCUAGUAAUCGCGGAUCAGCAUGCCGCGGUGAAUACGUUCCCGGGCCUUGUACACACCGCCCGUCACACCAUGAGAGUUUGUAACACCCAAAGUCGGUGGGGUAACCUUUUAGGAACCAGCCGCCUAAGGUGGGACAGAUGAUUAGGGUG
rnacentral:rRNA from 2 species